rnacentral:sRNA from 1 species
UGGGCCGGGCUUAGAGGAUAGGUACUGUUUUUUUUUUGUGGACGGACCAAACGAUUUCAUUUAAAAACCAAAAGCAGAUAAAAAACAGAAUGGUCAAGCUCAAAGAGGAAUACAAGCGGAAAUUAACGGUCAAAUAACUAAAUCAUAAUGAAGUUAGCAAAAAUAUUUGCACGUAUAAUUUAGCCUAAAGACACGUGUAGAAGAUGUGUUCUUCUGAAAACCACUCGUCACGUCGUAGUACCAAAAUCUUCUGGGUCGAUCAUAUGAAACCGCUUCAAAAAGAUUUCGAAAACCGCUAACUUCGGGGAAGCUAUAUCACUGACUACACCCAAUUUGAUGUAGUCUAGGAUCAAUCUUUCUAUGUACCUUGAAUAAAAACAGAAUGACGAAGAUAUUACUUCUUGAGCAAUUAGGGAAACAAAAAGAAUUUGGAAGACAUACAGAAAAAUCGAAGGAAAGAUAUUGGAAUAGAGAUAUUGGAAGUUGAAGUUUUGAUUUUUAGGUUUUUUUCUUUGAUCGUUUUUAUGCUAAUUUUGUGUUUGUUAAAGCUGAAACUUCAAUGAGAUGGCUUUGAUUUAUGAUUUUUAUUUGGGAAUUUUAGUUUGUAGAUUUAUGUUUUGUAUGAUCAUUGAAUCUUUGAAUAACCCAUGCACUAGUAAGAUGUUAUAUUAUAAUAUAUGGAUACUAGACUUGAAUUGUUCUAAUUAGUAGGAAGAGAACUAUUGUUGAUAAAAUAACAUGUACAACUAGUGUACCUGUUAGACUAUCUACAUUAGUUACAUGGUUACAAUGUCCACUUUUCUCUUUUCAACACUCCACAUUAUAAUUCAAUACCUACAUAAUUUUUACUUACUACAAUAGUUUUGUUUAAUAAAAUUACAACACAUUACCCUACCAUUAUUUUAU